GUGGUAACAGCAGGGCUUUCGUGGUGCAGGCUUUAAUCCCAGCACUCAGAAGGCAGAGCAGGGGAUGCAUCUUGCUUGGAGGUUGGUGUGCAUGCAGCAUGCAGUCUGGCCCUGUGGAAAAACCCUGAUGUCUUUUCAUGCCAGUAGCCCGCACAGCACCUUCUGGAACCGUGAAAGCUGGUCAGCAGGAAGUAAAUCCAUUCUCUCUCCUUCUAGCGAUGCCAUCCUCGGACUUCCCUUCAUCAUCCGUGCUUUCCAUGAGGUCCGUUAUCAAAGCUCAUACUCCACUGGACACAGAGUAAUCAAGCUGAACCUGAGAUGGAAGCUACAGCAACCUACACCCUCUUUCACGGUGUAUGGUGACAGUUACAGGCAACAAUACUGCGCAAAGCCUGCUUCAGAUGACUCCGAUGGUGCUCCGUCCAUUUAUACAGAAUCAUAGAGGAGAUAACAGGAUCUUAUCUAACCUCAUUCCUACGAAGAAGCUGUUCUGAUUUCUAGUGCACAAAUGGUGAGAUUGAAGACAAAUACUGUUAACUACCCCAGGUCACAGAGAGGUAAAAGGCAGUGAUGGCUGGCGCCCUGGGCUAUCUCGUUCUUCCCACUCUGUCCAGACCCUCAGACACCAUAGUGCUGUACGGUAAAAGGCUGUGAAGAAGGAAAGACUGGAAUAAAAUGGCGGUGUCGUAGGAUGUGUGCAUUCUUUGGAGCAAGGCUGCGCUUUUACACAAACGUUCCUGACGAUACGGGGUACAGAAGCAUCGCUAACAAUGUGUGCUGGGUUUAAGAAGCACCGUUAAUAGAGUGUUUUCCAAAGAUUUGCAUGAAACAUCAGCUGGGUUUUGAUGCUCGCCGCUUGCUUAAAAUGUUUAUUCAUGUUGAACAAUGUUUAUUUAUUGAAAGUACCAUCUAUUUAAAUCAAAUUAUCUCCAUAGCUGAAUAUUUAUAUGAACGCUUUAUUGAAUAUUCCUAAACAUUUGCCUAAACCACAAACAAUUUAUUCACAGUUAUAAAUGUUCCUUCUUUAGAGUUAAAAAAAAAAUUGCUCAGAAGGCGCUCAGAAGCAAAUGGACGUUUCUGCAGUUUGCGAACAUCUGCGACUCUUUCUGCACGCUAGCCAUCAGGUUCCUGCCCUGGAAAAUGGCUAGAUAGUCUAAUUAUUUAUGUUCAAUAAAAUAUUUAACAUCCACAUAGCAUCUCUUUUACUGUGUCAUAUAACAGCCGCAGCUCUU